CAUCAGUUGGUCCGUCCCUAAAGUCGCCACACAGGGCAGGUAGGAGCCAAACCGGUGGCCAAGCCAUUUGGGUUACAUUGUUCUUACCCCAUUGGGAUAACUCAUGAGAAGCCCCGUUACAAGUGCGAUUAGCAAAUUAAACGAAAUAGAUUGGAAACUACAAAUUAGGGAUUUGAUAUCCUAAAACAUGGAAUGUGUUCUUAGAUCUCCCAAAAAAAUCUUUCUAUUUAUCUUCUCUAUUACUUCUGCGGCAUCAGCUUCGAUUAUAAUUCGAUCCAUCUUCAUCUACUUCGCAAAUCUUAAGGCAUCUCUAAUCCCACAUAUCUCCGUUUCUUCUGCAGAACAACAAAUCAAGUUCUUCGAAACUGCGUAGAUAAAUUGAUGAGUAGGAUCUCUUAUUAAGAAACCCAAUCUCCCAAUUUGUGAAUUAAGAUUUCAAGCACCAUCUGUAUUAAUCUUCAACCAAUUUCUAAGUGGACACAUCCAAGGAGAGGGAGUUGAUUGAUUUUGUGAUAUUCAUACGAUUCGGCUGAUGAUAGAGCUUUUAAAGUUGGACCAUAUUACACAGGAAAUCAAAGGAAAUUGAUCCGCUCUUGAAGAUUGGUCUUGAUAAGGAUACAAAUGCAACCAGAAUUUCGUCCACUGUAUUAAGGGAAAAUGUAUUCAGAUAUAUGAAUUCUUUUGUGAAGAAUUUCAUUCACUGGUAGUGCCCCUUUUAGAGUCUUCCAUACAAAAAGUUGGAUUCUUACAGGCACAUUCAGUUCCCAAAUUGCACUCCAUAAAUCAGAUUCAGAAUCAUCCCCACUCACACUUAAGGUGGUAUAUGCAGACUUUAUAAUAAAGACUCCAUCUUUAGUUGGAGUCCAAAUUCUUCUGUCUAUAGAAGAUUCAGAGCUAAGAGGGAUUUUUUGAAUCAUCUCUUUUGAAGAUUGGUCAAAAACAUCACUUAAUUUUGCGGUAUCCCAUGUUCUUGUGUCAUGAUUAAUAAGAUCACUUACUUUUAAGUUCUUAUCAGGAAUUGAGUUUGCUUUUGGUGUUGCAACUCCUUUCCAGGUAUCCAAUUAUCACACCAUGGGUUAUAAAAUUUCCUUCCCCCACUACCCAUGA